rnacentral:rRNA from 1 species
GACGAACGCUGGCGGCGUGCUUAAUACAUGCAAGUCGAACGGAAAGGCCCUGCUUUUGUGGGGUGCUCGAGUGGCGAACGGGUGUGUAACACGUGAGUAACCUGCCCCUGACUUUGGGAUAACUUUAGGAAACUGGGGCUAAUAUCGGAUAGGAGAUCCUGAUGCAUGGUGGGGGUUGGUAAGUUUCGGCGGUUGGGGAUGGUCUCGCGGCUUAUCAGCUUGUUGGUGAGGUAGUGGAUUACCAAGGUUUUGACGGGUAGCCGGCCUGAGAGGGUGACCGGCGACAUGGGGACUGAGGUACGGCCCAGAAGCCUACGUGAGGCAGCAGUCGAGAGUAUUGCACAAUGGGCGGAAGCCUGAUGCAGCAACGCCGCGUGCGGGAUGACGGCCUUCGAGUUAUGAACCGCUUUCUCCUGAAACAAAGCGUGAGUGACGGUAAUGGGUAAAAAAGCACCGGCUAACUACGUG